rnacentral:rRNA from 1 species
UACGGAGGGUGCAAACGUUGCUCGGAAUCAUUGGGCGUAAAGCGCACGUAGGCGGCGCAGCAAGUCGGGUGUGAAAGCCCUCGGCUUAACCGAGGAAGUGCAUUCGAAACUACUGGGCUUGAAUACUGGAGAGGAUCGCGGAAUUCCCGGUGUAGAGGUGAAAUUCGUAGAUAUUGGGAGGAACACCGGUGGCGAAGGCGACCACCUGGACGGACACUGACGCUGAGGCGCGAAAGCGUGGGGAGCAAACAGG